ensembl:lncRNA
CAGAAAUACUGGCUGAACAGUGACUGCUGCAUAUUCUUCUGGGUAUGGCUACACUCUCGUGGAAGACGAGCAAAAUGACUCAAACCAUAUAAACCAUCAAUAAAUAACAAAACUACAGCAUAAAGCCUCACACAGAAACAACAGCAUCCCCAGCACAUCACAGCCUACGACCUGAAGAUGACUUCUUCACCUGAGGAAGCAAUAUCAGAUAAAGGACUUGUUUGAAGUUAAAACAUCUUACAAACACACAGCCUAUUGCUUUAUAAGAUGUUGAUGAUGGACUGGAGUGGUGUGGAUUACUUGUGG